rnacentral:rRNA from 1 species
UACGUAGGGGGCAAGCGUUGUCCGGAAUCAUUGGGCGUAAAGCGCGUGUAGGCGGCUCGAUAAGUCUGCUGUGAAAGUCCAAGGCUCAACCUUGGGAUGCCGGUGGAUACUGUCGAGCUCGAGUCCGGAAGAGGCGAGUGGAAUUCCUGGUGUAGCGGUGGAAUGCGCAGAUAUCAGGAGGAACACCGAUAGCGAAGGCAGCUCGCUGGGACGGUACUGACGCUGAGGCGCGAAAGCGUGGGGAGCGAACAGG